rnacentral:lncRNA from 1 species
CUGUGGGGAGGUGAGCUCAUCCCAUCCUGUCCCUAUAACUGCUGCCCUUUCUGGGCCCUUUCAGCCUUAGAGAAACACAAGGUCAUCAUGGCACAACACAGUGGAAGCAGGGACUGGCCCAAAUGGUGUCAAAGCAGCAGCAAUGACAUGGUAAUCACAACCCUGGAUGGUGAGCUCACACCAUCUCAUCCCUUUAAUUGCUGCUCAGGCCGGGCCCUACCAGGAAGAGACAAGACAAGAUCCCUGUUACCCAAGGCUGAGGGAGAGCAGACUGAACCAGGUGAGUGACUAGUGGCUGUUGGGCUCUCAGCAGGGAUGCGAGAGAGAAGCCAAGUGGGCAACCUUAAAUGUGAUGAAUUAUUAUCAUUAUCAUCAUCAUCAUCAUUGUUAUUA